rnacentral:rRNA from 1 species
UACGGGGGGGGCAAGCGUUGUUCGGAAUUACUGGGCGUAAAGGGCUCGUAGGCGGCCAACUAAGUCGGACGUGAAAUCCCUCAGCUUAACUGGGGAACUGCGUCUGAUACUGGAUGGCUUGGAUUCGGGAGAGGGAUGCGGAAUUCUCGGUGUAGCGGUGAAAUGCGUAGAUAUCGAGAGGAACACCUGCGGCGAAGGCGGGUAGCUGGGCCGACACUGACGCUGAGGCGCGAAAGCCAGGGGAGCGAACGGG